GUGUGUUUAUGCGUGUAAAAUCAUGUGUAAUCACUCUCGUGUUUAAGUUUUUUUUUUUUUGCUGUUUCAAAUUCGAUCGGUGGCAAAUGAAGGAAGUGAGCUUAUCCUU
rnacentral:sRNA from 1 species